AGAGUUCGAUCCUGGCUCAGGAUGAACGCUGGCGGCGUGCCUAACACAUGCAAGUCGAACGAGAUGCGUAUUGGAAAGCUUCGGCCGGAAGAUACGUUAUCUAGUGGCGGACGGGUGAGUAACACGUGGGUAACCUGCCUUAUGGAGGGGGAUAACAGAGAGAAAUCACUGCUAAUACCGCAUAAGCACACAGUACCGCAUGGUACAGGGUGAAAAGAUUUAUCGCCAUAAGAUGGACCCGCGUCUGAUUAGCCAGUUGGCAGGGUAAAAGCCUACCAAAGCAACGAUCAGUAGCCGAUCUGAGAGGAUGACCGGCCACAUUGGGACUGAGACACGGCCCAAACUCCUACGGGAGGCAGCAGUGGGGAAUAUUGCACAAUGGGGGAAACCCUGAUGCAGCGACGCCGCGUGAGUGAAGAAGUAUUUCGGUAUGUAAAGCUCUAUCAGCAGGGAAGAUAAUGACAGUACCUGACUAAGAAGCCCCGGCUAACUACGUGCCAGCAGCCGCGGUAAUACGUAGGGGGCAAGCGUUAUCCGGAUUUACUGGGUGUAAAGGGAGCGUAGACGGAAUGGCAAGUCUGAAGUGAAAUACCCGGGCUCAACCUGGGAACUGCUUUGGAAACUGUUGUUCUAGAGUGUUGGAGAGGUAAGUGGAAUUCCUGGUGUAGCGGUGAAAUGCGUAGAUAUCAGGAAGAACACCGGAGGCGAAGGCGGCUUACUGGACAAUAACUGACGUUGAGGCUCGAAAGCGUGGGGAUCAAACAGGAUUAGAUACCCUGGUAGUCCACGCUGUAAACGAUGAAUACUAGGUGUCGGGGUGCAAAGCAUCUCGGUGCCGUCGCUAACGCAAUAAGUAUUCCACCUGGGGAGUACGUUCGCAAGAAUGAAACUCAAAGGAAUUGACGGGGACCCGCACAAGCGGUGGAGCAUGUGGUUUAAUUCGAAGCAACGCGAAGAACCUUA
rnacentral:rRNA from 2 species